rnacentral:rRNA from 1 species
GUAGGGGGGCGAGCGUUGUCCGGGAAUUAUUGGGGCGUAAAGGGCGCGUAGGCGGAUGGUUAAGUCCGAUGUGAAAGAUCAGGGGCUCAACCCUGAGGGUGCAUCGGAAACUGGGCAUCUUGAGGACAGGAGAGGAAAGUGGAAUUCCACGUGUAGCGGUGAAAUGCGUAGAUAUGUGGAGGAACACCAGUGGCGAAGGCGACUUUCUGGACUGUAACUGACGCUGAGGCGCGAAAGCGUGGGGAGCAAACAGGAUUAGAUACCCUGGUAGUCCACGCCGUAAACGAUGAGUGCUAGGUGUAGAGGGUAUCGACCCCUUCUGCGCCGCAGUUAACACAAUAAGCACUCCGCCUGGGGAGUACGGCCGCAAGGUUG